rnacentral:misc_RNA from 1 species
GCUAAGGAUGCAACUGAUGGAAAUGAUUCUUAUGCUACUCUUUGUCUGGGAAAUUGGAAUUACUUUGCGGCGAUUCGGAAUGAGAAAAGAGCUCCGAAACUGGAAGCUACUCAUCUAGAGAAGGCUAAGGAACUAUAUACAAAGGUUCUCUUCCAGCAUAAUGCAAAUCUCUAUGCUGCAAAUGGUGCUGGUGUUGUUUUGGCAGAAAAAGGUCAAUUUGAUAUUUCAAAGGAUCUUUUCACACAGGUUCAAGAAGCUGCCAGUGGAAAUGUUUUCGUCCAGAUGCCUGAUGUGUGGAUUAAUCUUGCACAUGUUCACUUUGCUCAAGGCAACUUUGCAUUGGCAGUGAAAAUGUACCAAAAUUGCUUGCGGAAAUUUUAUCAUAAUACCGACAGUCAGGUGCUUCUUUAUUUAGCAAGAACACAUUAUGAAGCUGAACAGUGG